AGGAAGAGGUCCUGGGUAAAGGAGCAGGUGUGUUCUUAGAAGGCCCUCCUGUCUGCUGCUGGAACACAUCACCUGUUUAUUCGUCCUCCAUUUCCCGCUUUGCAGAGCACUGAAAGUCUCUUAAGUUACAGCUUCACAACAGAAGUCUAAAGUCUGCGCAGAACUAGCACAUCUGCAGCCGUAGGAGCAGCAGAAUGACCAGGCAGCAGAGCUUUAUUCCAUGUUUUCAUCUCCAUUCCUACAACAGCAGCGGCAGCAGCAACAACUGCUACUACUUCUAAUUGUGGUAAAAAUACUUAGAAUAAUAAUGCAUAAUGACAAUUGUAGUUGACAUUUUUGGUUUAUAUAUGAUUAUUUGUAAUGUUCUACAAUUUACCUUUAGUAAUAUACACAUAACUUUUGCAUAAACAUCAGGACCCUAAAACACCACACCUGAUGAUUGAAUCUCACCUAUGGACCUAAGGUCUUCACAUGCUGGUGCAGGCCCUCUCACCACUCCAUCUCCAAACAGAGGAUAUGGUCCACCUUCUGAGUCAAUAUAGUAGCCCUGACACUCACAUGAUCUAUUUGAGGUCUUGGAAAACAAGCUUGCCUUGUUAAAAAUCAAAGGAUGGGCCGGGCACGGUGGCUCACGCCUGUAAUCCCAGCACUUUGGGAGGCCGAGGCGGGCUGAUCACGAGGUCAGGAGAUGGAGACCAUCCUGACUAACACGAUGAAACCCCAUCUCUACUAAAAAUACAAAAAAAUUAGCCGGG
rnacentral:lncRNA from 1 species